rnacentral:rRNA from 1 species
AGAGCGAACGCUGGCGGCAGGCCUAACACAUGCAAGUCGAGCGCCCGUAGCAAUACGGGAGCGGCAGACGGGAUAGUAACACGUGGGAACGCGCCCUUCGGUUCGGAAUAACUCAGGGAAACUUGAGCUAAUACCGGAUACGCCCUUACGGGGAAAGAUUUAUUGCCGAAGGAACGGCCCGCGUCCGAUUAGCUAGUUGGUGAGGUAAUGGCUCACCAAGGCGACGAUCGGUAGCUGGUCUGAGAGGAUGACCAGCAUCACUGGGACUGAGACACGGCCCAGACUCCUACGGGAGGCAGCAGUGGGGAAUAUUGGACAAUGGGCGCAAGCCUGAUCCAGCCAUGCCGCGUGGAUGAUGAAGACCUUAGGGUUGUAAAGUCCUUUUAACGGGGAAGUAUAAUGACGGUACCCGUAGAAUAAGCCCCGGCUAACUUCGUGCCAGCAGCCGC